AUGGAUUUGAGGGUGCCUCAUAUGCUUCAUCUUUUUAAUGUCUUUCAUGAAAAUAAGGAUUCCGAUAACCUCCAAGAGCAUAAAUGCAUUAAAAUGUUUGGCACUAAAUAUUUGAAUGAUGAGCAUGAUUGCAAUAUUGUUAGUAUGAAUUCUUUGAAUAUCCAUGAUGCUAAUGAUAUGCAAAGCCACAAGCUUGGGGAUGCUAUGUUUGAUGAAUAUGAUAUUUUUAGCCCCCCAAGUUUUGAUGAGCAUAUUUAUUAUGAUGAUAGCAUGCCUCCUAUUUAUGAUGAUUAUAUUGAUGAAAGUGGGUUUGGAAGAGUGUCAACUUUAGAAAGUAAUGAUCCCACUAUUUUGGAGGGUGUUGAAUCUUAUAAUAUUUAUGAAAGUGGAUUUGGAGAGGUCAUGACUUUAUUUAGUGAUGAAUCCACUAUUUCAGAAGAGGUUCCAAUUGAUUAUGAGAACAAAAUUGCUAAUCCCCCCGUCUAG
rnacentral:rRNA from 1 species